rnacentral:rRNA from 1 species
GACGAACGCUGGCGGCGUGCUUAACACAUGCAAGUCGAACGAUGAAGCCCAGCUUGCUGGGUGGAUUAGUGGCGAACGGGUGAGUAACACGUGAGUAACCUGCCCUUGACUCUGGGAUAAGCCUGGGAAACUGGGUCUAAUACUGGAUAUGACUUCUCAUCGCAUGGUGGGGGGUGGAAAGAUUUAUUGGUCUUGGAUGGACUCGCGGCCUAUCAGCUUGUUGGUGAGGUAAUGGCUCACCAAGGCGACGACGGGUAGCCGGCCUGAGAGGGUGACCGGCCACACUGGGACUGAGACACGGCCCAGACUCCUACGGGAGGCAGCAGUGGGGAAUAUUGCACAAUGGGCGCAAGCCUGAUGCAGCGACGCCGCGUGGGGGAUGACGGCCUUCGGGUUGUAAACCUCUUUCAGUAGGGAAGAAGCGAGAGUGACGGUACCUGCAGAAGAAGCGCCGGCUAACUACGUG